rnacentral:rRNA from 1 species
GAGGAAUAUUGGUCAAUGGAGGCAACUCUGAACCAGCCAUGCCGCGUGCAGGAAGACUGCCCUAUGGGUUGUAAACUGCUUUUAUACGGGAAGAAACAACUCUACGUGUAGAGUCUUGACGGUACCGUAAGAAUAAGCACCGGCUAACUCCGUGCCAGCAGCCGCGGUAAUACGGAGGGUGCAAGCGUUAUCCGGAAUCAUUGGGUUUAAAGGGUCCGCAGGCGGUCGAUUAAGUCAGAGGUGAAAUCCCAUAGCUUAACUAUGGAACUGCCUUUGAUACUGGUUGACUUGAGUUAUACGGAAGUAGGUAGAAUAAGUAGUGUAGCGGUGAAAUGCAUAGAUAUUACUUA